rnacentral:rRNA from 1 species
AUGGAGCCGCUGCACUACCCCGCGGUGGCGAUAGGGACUGCAGAGCUACCCCCCAUGGCGACAGCUAGCGCCGAUAGGCAGAUGUGUGUGGCGGAAGGGGGGCUCGCAGCGGAUGGGGAUGCUGAGCCGCAAGCAUCUGAGCAGGCUGGACUCGCAGGUACAAGCUUUGACACACUCGGGGAGGCCUAUGAUUUUUCCAAUCUCUACUCGUGGGAGAAGGGAUUUGGAAUAAGAUACAAAAAGAGUAUACUAAAUGUGGAGAGGACAAAAUGCAUCCAGGAAAUUGUUUGCGGCUGUGCGGGUAAAGCUGUGGUGAACAGUAGAUCGUGCCGUGACUGCCCUGCUCAAAGGCAAUGGUUGGUACAUAGCUGA